UACGUAGGGAGCAAGCGUUGUCCGGAAUUACUGGGCGUAAAGGGCGCGAAGGCGGGUUAUUAAGUCAGAUGUGAAAACUCCGGGCUUAACUUGGAGACUGCAUUUGAAACUGGUAAUCUUGAGGUCAGGAGAGGAAAGUGGAAUUCCUAGUGUAGCGGUGAAAUGCGUAGAUAUUAGGAGGAACACCAGUGGCGAAGGCGACUUUCUGGACUGUACCUGACGCUGAUGCGCGAAAGCGUGGGUAGCGAACGGGAUUAGAUACCCCUGUAGUCCCUGA
rnacentral:rRNA from 1 species